rnacentral:tRNA from 1 species
GGUCGUGUGGCCUAAUAGAUAAGGCGUCGGACUUCGGAUCCGAAGAAUGCAGGUUCGAGUCCUGCUACGAGCA